rnacentral:antisense_RNA from 1 species
GUCUCCGCCAUAGGCCUGCGCCGCCUCGGGGCCGGGGUCAGGCUGCCACAGCUUACCAAUGGAAGAUUAGGCCAGAUGGCUCCUGAGAGUGCUUUGGGAGAUUCUCUGUUCCUUCUGGGAAUGGCAGGGAUAGGAGGGGGUCCCAGAAGUUUGAACACUUUGGCAUCCAAGAAAUCACACUCCAAAUACUGCUCUUCUGGCCUCCCCUGGGCUGCCUUCUCCAACCAUGUUCCUGGAACCGAAGGGCAGAAAUUGCCCUCUUGGGCUUAUAAACAAGGAGCUCCUGCCUGCCUGGAUGAAGAGGAGGUCAAGACUUUGUCCCCCACUCCCCAAGAUACCCUCUCUGUUCCGGAUCGAUGAGACGGGAUUUCACCAUGUUAGCCAGGAUGGUCUUGAUCUCCUGACCUCAUGAUCUGCCCACCUCGGCCUCCCAAAGUGCUGGGCUUACAGGCGUGAGCCACCGUGCCCGGCCAAAAAUAACUUUUAAAAACAUGAGUAUAGCAUACACACACACAAAAGUCCACAAAUCCUAAGUGU